UGGGGGAUAUUGCACAAUGGGCGAAAGCCUGAUGCAGCGACGCCGCGUGGGGGAUGAAGGCCUUCGGGUUGUAAACUUCUUUUGCUCUGAACAAGGCAUGCUAAUGGGUGUGUUGAGUGUAGGGGUUGAUUAGCGCCGGCUAACUACGUGCCAGCAGCCGCGGUAAUACGUAGGGCGCGAGCGUUGUCCGGAAUUAUUGGGCGUAAAGGGCUUGUAGGUGGCUGGGUGCGUCUGUCGUGAAAGCUCAUGGCUUAAAUGUGGGUUUGCGGUGGGUACGGGCUGGCUUGAGUGCAGUAGGGGAGGCUGGAAUUCCUGGUGUAGCGGUGGAAUGCGCAGAUAUCAGGAAGAAUACCGGUGGCGAAGGCGGGUCUCUGGGCUGUUACUGACACUGAGGAGCGAAAGCAUGGGGAGCGAACAGG
rnacentral:rRNA from 1 species